rnacentral:tRNA from 1 species
GCCGGCUUGGCUCAGUGGGUAGAGCGUCGGCCUGGGGACUGAAGGGUCCCGGGUUCAAUUCCCGGUCAGGGCA